GAUGAAGAACGCAUCGAAAUGCGAUACUUGGUGUGAAUUGCAGAAUCCCGUGAACCAUCGAGUCUUUGAACGCAAGUUGCGCCCGAAGCCACUAGGCCGAGGCACGCCUGCCUGGGCGUCACACGUCGUUGCCCCCCACCAUCUACUCCUUCGGGAUUGCGGGGGGCGGAUGAUGGCCUCCCGUGCGCCUAGCCGCGCGGUUGGCAUAAAUACCAAGUCCUCGGCGACGCACGCCACGACAAUCGGUGGUUGCGAAACCUCGGUUGCCCGUCGUGUGCGUUCGUCGCGCAUCGAGGGCUCGAAAAAAUGCUCGGCUCCGGCUCGGCUUUCAACGCGACCCCAGGUCAGGCGGGGUUACCCGCUGAAUUUAAGCAUAUCAAUAAGCGGAGGA
rnacentral:misc_RNA from 1 species